GACGAACGCUGGCGGCGUGCUUAACACAUGCAAGUCGAACGGAAAGGCCCUGCUUUUGUGGGGUGCUCGAGUGGCGAACGGGUGAGUAACACGUGAGUAACCUGCCCUUGACUUUGGGAUAACUUCAGGAAACUGGGGCUAAUACCGGAUAGGAGCUCCUGCUGCAUGGUGGGGGUUGGAAAGUUUCGGCGGUUGGGGAUGGACUCGCGGCUUAUCAGCUUGUUGGUGGGGUAGUGGCUUACCAAGGCUUUGACGGGUAGCCGGCCUGAGAGGGUGACCGGCCACAUUGGGACUGAGAUACGGCCCAGACUCCUACGGGAGGCAGCAGUGGAGAAUAUUGCACAAUGGGCGGAAGCCUGAUGCAGCAACGCCGCGUGCGGGAUGACGGCCUUCGGGUUGUAAACCGUUUUCGCCUGUGACGAAGCGUGAGUGACGGUAAUGGGUAAAGAAGCACCGGCUAACUACGUG
rnacentral:rRNA from 1 species